rnacentral:rRNA from 1 species
AGCGCAGACGGUUGACUAAGUCUGAUGUGAAAGCCCGGAGCUCAACUCCGGAAUGGCAUUGGAAACUGGUUAACUUGAGUGUUGUAGAGGUAAGUGGAACUCCAUGUGUAGCGGUGGAAUGCGUAGAUAUAUGGAAGAACACCAGUGGCGAAGGCGGCUUACUGGACAACAACUGACGUUGAGGCUCGAAAGUGUGGUAGCAAACA